rnacentral:rRNA from 1 species
CCUACGGGAGGCUGCAGUGGGGAAUAUUGCGCAAUAGGGGAAACCCUGACGCAGCGACGCCGCGUGAGCGAAGAAGGCCUUAGGGUUGUAAAGCUCUGUUGUAAGGGAAGAAGAACUUAAGCGAGAAUAUUGUUUAAGAGUGACGGUACCUUACUAGAAAGCCCCGGCUAACUACGUGCCAGCAGCCGCGGUAAGACGUAGGGGGCGAGCGUUGUCCGGAAUUACUGGGCGUAAAGAGCACGUAGGCGGAUAUUUAAGUCAGAUGUGAAAGACCGCAGCUCAACUGCGGGGUUGCAUUUGAAACUGGGUAUCUUGAGGGCAGGAGAGGGCAGUGGAAUUCCUGGUGUAGCGGUGAAAUGCGUAGAAAUCAGGAGGAACACCAGUGGCGAAGGCGACUGUCUGGACUGACCCUGACGCUGAGGUGCGAAAGCGUGGGUAGCAAACAGGAUUAGAUACCCUUGUAGUC